GGUCAAGCAAAGAAGGGCGCAGGACGGAUGCCUUGGCACUGAGGGCCGAAGAAAGACGUGAUAAGCUGCGAAAAGCUGUGGGGAGGAGCAAAUAUCCCGUGAUCCACAGAUAUCUGAAUGGGGAAACCCGGCGGACGAAGAGACCGUCACCGUAUGCUGAAUACAUAGGUAUACGGAGGGAACCCGGUGAACUGAAACAUCUAAGUAGCCGGAGGAAGAGAAAACAAAAGUGAUUCCGUAAGUAGCGGCGAGCGAACGCGGAAGAGCCCAAACCAUCGUGCGUGCAUGAUGGGGUUUAGGACUGCAUAAAGCAACGAUAGGACAGUGGAACAGUUUUGGAAGAGCUGACGAGAAAGGGUGAGAGUCCCGUACACGAAGUCCGACAAUAGCCGGCAGGAUCCAGAGUACCGCGAAACACGAGGAAUUUCGUGGGAAUAAGCGGGGACCACCCCGUAAGGCUAAAUACCACUCAGUGACCGAUAGCGUAUAGUACUGUGAAGGAAAGGUGAAAAGGACCCCGGGAGGGGAGUGAAAGAGAACCUGAAAUCCUGUGCCUACAAACUGCGGAAGGACGUCAAGGUCUGACCGCGUACUUUUUGUAGAACGGUCCGGCGAGCCGCGGUAUACGGAGAGGUUAAGCAGUUAAGCUGCGGAGCCGAAGGGAAACCAAGUCUGAACAGGGCGAAAAGUUCGUAUGCUGUGGGCCCGAAACCGGGUGACCUAUCCAUGUCCAGGAUGAAGACACCGUAAAAGGUGUUGGAGGUCCGCACGCACAUCCGUUGAAAAGGGUGGCGAUGAGGUGUGGAUAGCGGAGAAAUUCCAAUCGAACCCGGAGAUAGCUGGUUCUCCCCGAAAUAGCUUUAGGGCUAGCCUUAUAGGAGAGUUUCCUGGAGGUAGGGCACUGAAUGUCCGCGGGAGCUGCAUAAGCUUACCAAAGACUAUCAAACCAUGAAUGCCAGAGAAAUGUUCCAUAGGAGUCAGACCGCAUGAGAUAAGUCGGGCGGUCAAAAGGGAAAGAGCCCAGACCAUCGGCCAAGGUCCCGAAGAGCGCGUUAAGUGGAAAAGGAUGUGGGAUUUCGAAGACAGCUAGGAUGUUGGCUCAGAAGCAGCCAUACAUUCAAAGAGUGCGUAAUAGCUCACUAGCCGAGAGGUCCUGCGCCGAAAAUACACGGGGCUGAAACGCGCCACCGAAGCCAUGGGAUCAGUUGUACCUGCGGGUACAGGUGAUCGGUAGGGGAGCAUUGAUGCAGGAGCGAAGCGGUACGGAAACGGGCCGUGGACUUGCAUGAAGAGAGAAUGCCGGAAUGAGUAGCGAGAUGAAGGUAAGAAUCCUUCAGGCCGAAUGCCAGAGGUUUCCAGGGUAAAGCUGAUCUUCCCUGGGGAAGCCGGGACCUAAGCCGAGGCGGAGACGCGUAGGUGAUGGACAUCAGGUUGAUAAUCCUGAGCUCCGGAUGGUCAGAAAUGUGGGGACGCAGAAAGAAAGCUUCAGCCGGGAAUGGAAAAACCGGUAGAGUAAGGAGCCAGCCAUGGGUUAAAAUACAUGGGAAAAGGCUGCUUAUGAAGGACCGAAAAAAAGUAGGGAAGGAAGCGGACAGGCUGCCGGGAAAAGCCACUAUUGUGCCAUACGGACCCGUACCGCAGACCGACACAGGUAGGCAGGGCGAGGAGCCCAAGGCCGGCGGGAGAAGCAUUGUUAAGGAACUCGGCAAAAUGUCCCCGUAACUUCGGGAGAAGGGGAGCUCCAGAGAUGGAGCCGCAGAGAAAAGGUUCAAGCAACUGUUUAGCAAAAACACAGGUUUAUGCGAAACCGAAAGGUGAAGUAUAUGAGCUGACGCCUGCCCGGUGCUGGAAGGUUAAGAGGAGAGGUCAGGAGCAAUCCGAAGCCUUGAAUUCAAGCCCCAGUAAACGGCGGCCGUAACUAUAACGGUCCUAAGGUAGCGAAAUUCCUUGUCGGGUAAGUUCCGACCCGCACGAAAGGCGUAAUGAUUUGAACACUGUCUCGACAAUGCACCCGGUGAAAUUGAAGUACCAGUGAAGAUGCUGGUUACCUGCGCCAGGACGGAAAGACCCCAUGGAGCUUUACUCCAGCUUGAUACUGGGAUCCGGCAGUGGAUGUACAGGAUAGGUGGGAGGCUAAGAACCGGGAACGCCAGUUUUCGGGGAGCCAAUGUUGGGAUACCACCCUUCUGCUGCCAGCUUCCUAACCUGCGCCAUUGAAUCAUGGCGGGGGACAAUGUCUGGCGGGGAGUUUGACUGGGGCGGUCGCCUCCGAAAGAGUAUCGGAGGCGCUCAAAGGUCUCCUCAGGAUGGUCGGGAACCAUCCGCAGAGUGCAAAGGCAGAAGGAGGCCUGACUGCGACACCGACGGGUGGAGCAGGUACGAAAGUAGGACUUAGUGAUCCGGUGGCAGAAAGUGGAAUUGCCAUCGCUCAACGGAUAAAAGCUACCCUGGGGAUAACAGGCUGAUCUCCCCCAAGAGUUCACAUCGACGGGGAGGUUUGGCACCUCGAUGUCGGCUCAUCACAUCCUGGGGCUGUAGCAGGUCCCAAGGGUUGGGCUGUUCGCCCAUUAAAGUGGUACGCGAGCUGGGUUCAGAACGUCGUGAGACAGUUCGGUCCCUAUCCGGCGCAGGCGUAGGAUAUUUGAGAGGAGCUGUCCUUAGUACGAGAGGACCGGGAUGGACGGACCGCUGGUGCAUCUGCUGGAUACCAAAUCCACGACAGAGUAGCCAAGUCCGGAUCGGAUAAACGCUGAAGGCAUCUAAGCGUGAAGCCGACCUCAAGAUAAGAUAUCCAGGUGACUCCGGUCAUGAGAGACCCCCUGAAGAGUACAGGGUAGAUAGGAUGGAGGUGGAAGUGCAGUGAUGCAUGGAGCUGACCAUUACUAAUAGGUCGAAAGCUUGUCCAA
rnacentral:rRNA from 1 species